UACAGAGGGGGCGAGCGUUAAUCGGAAUUACUGGGCGUAAAGCGCGCGUAGGCGGCUUUGCAAGUCGGGUGUGAAAUCCCCAGGCUUAACCUGGGAACUGCAUUCGAGACUGCAUUGCUAGAGUAUGGGAGAGGGAAGUGGAAUUUCCGGCGUAGCGGUGAAAUGCGUAGAUAUCGGAAGGAACAUCAGUGGCGAAAGCGACUUCCUGGACCAAUACUGACGCUCAUGUGCGAAAGCGUGGGGAGCAAACAGG
rnacentral:rRNA from 1 species